rnacentral:ncRNA from 15 species
UGCUGGUCAUCACAUCGACGAAUUUGGAUUGCUGCUCGCAGAUAAUGCGGGUAAUCCGCAGACGAUCCUCAUGGGUAAGUAGAUUGAGGUAAUUAUGCGCCAGCUCGUUACUGAGAAUAUUCGUGCCGUCAUUAAUCCGCAGAAUGCAAAUCCCCACCGGGGCGGAUGCCACGAUUUUGCGGUUGAACUGUUCGUUUUCUUCUAAUUGAAACGCAUUGACUUCGGCGGGCAACAGCAUUUUACGCUCAAAAACCCACGCCAGCACAAACAGCAAGAUGGCCGACAGCGCGUUGAGCAGCGCCAUAUUCAUUAUCAGCCCGCCGAUAUGGGACAGUAACACCUUUAACGGCAGCGAAUAAAUAAUGCUGAACGCGGUGGGCGGCAGGUUUUUUUUCAGAAUAAUUUCAUCAUAGCCGUUCACAUAGCCAAAGUAAUUAUGUUCUAUCGGAUAGCUGUUCACCGAAGAGGCGUGGCGCCCUCCCCCUUCGG